rnacentral:rRNA from 1 species
AUGAAGGGAGAGGAGCCCGGCCGGCUGGACAUCCUGCAAGUGACGGCAAGGGAGGAGCGUGUGACGAUGGUGUUCCUGGACUCCCGGUUGCAGACACCACCCUGCAAAGGCAACCGAGGCGACAACCUGUUGCUUUGUCACGAGUUCAAAUCACCAGACGAGCCAAUAUUUUUGCCUCCCCCGGACUGCACUGGGCCAUCCUUUGUUGGGCUGCAGAAACAACGACGCAGCAAUUUGACUAUUCUUUGUCUUUUACGAUGCGGGUCCGCGGUGAGAGGUAACGCUGGCUGGCGCCUCACCACUGGCUAUUGUUUGACGGCGGCAAGGAGAAGGGCGCCAAGGGUGUGCUGCUCUGUGCACGGCCGUCAAAAUUUUUCUGUGGCUUUCUCCAUUAGCAUGUUUCUCCUCAACGACCAUAUCAAUCUGGCUGGUGUUUGCACAUGUUUUGGUAGAUUUGAUUUAUCGGUAGCUAGGGCAGUGGUGAUGCCGCAGGUUGACCAAUUGUGUGCUAGAAGGAGAGCUGCAGUGGACAAGGAGGGGGGAGCAAGGACUAACUUUCGUGUUCCUGAUGGUCUGGAUGUUGGUUUUAUUCAGCAGUCACAGGGCUGCCUGCAUUAUGCUGGUUUUGACACAGAUGACAAUGAUGAUGAUGUUGUUCAACUGCUAGUUUAUGUUCUUCAAGACUAUGACAGCAAAGAGUGGAUACUGAAGCAUAGCGUCGAAACUUCACAUGUGUUUGGAGGGCGACACGUAGACGACUUUGGUAAGGACUUUGAUUGGAUUGCAAUUCAUCCAGAAUGUGAUGUUUUAUUCAUGCUAUGGGGCAGCGAGCAUGGUCUUGAAUUCGGUCCUCCUUUCACUGAUGUACUUCCCAUGUUAGUAUUGCCUAUAAUGGUGCACAUACACUCUACUCCAAGGCGACUAAUUGCGUUAAUAAGAGAGGUAAUUCAACUUACUGCUGAGGCAUUUGCCUACUGGGAUGAUGUUCAAAUCUGUUGGGAAAUUCAUGCUGGGAAGGUCACUGAAACUAAUUUCUUUAGCUGGUCAACCUUUGGAAGGCUAGUACUUCGAGCAGGGCUGGAAUAUGGCAGGAGCCAAUGGCAGCUUGCCAAACUGCUAAAUAAUUUUUCCCAGGCCCUGGCGUUCCUUGCACACUGUAUUCAGCAAGAUUUUAAGAUUGCUAGCCUAUCAAUAUAA